GAUGAACGCUGGCGGCGUGCCUAAUACAUGCAAGUCGAGCGAACAGACGAGGAGCUUGCUCCUCUGACGUUAGCGGCGGACGGGUGAGUAACACGUGGAUAACCUACCUAUAAGACUGGGAUAACUUCGGGAAACCGGAGCUAAUACCGGAUAAUAUAUUGAACCGCAUGGUUCAAUAGUGAAAGACGGUUUUGCUGUCACUUAUAGAUGGAUCCGCGCCGCAUUAUCUAGUUGGUAAGGUAACGGCUUACCAAGGCAACGAUGCGUAGCCGACCUGAGAGGGUGAUCGGCCACACUGGAACUGAGACACGGUCCAGACUCCUACGGGAGGCAGCAGUAGGGAAUCUUCCGCAAUGGGCGAAAGCCUGACGGAGCAACGCCGCGUGAAUGAUGAAGGUCUUCGGAUCGUAAAACUCUGUUAUUAGGGAAGAACAAAUGUGUAAGUAACUAUGCACGUCUUGACGGUACCUAAUCAGAAAGCCACGGCUAACUACGUG
rnacentral:rRNA from 1 species